UUAUUAGUUGCUGAUUAGCUGUAGAUUCCCCUGAAAUAACUGCAAUUAAAUUCAUGGUUUUGUGUAUAUAUACAUCCUGCCUAGUAUACCAGUGCAAAUCCUAAAUUUCUUCUCGUCUAUUGCAGUUGAAGUUUCGUUUGUCUUUUUUGUUUUCUCAGUCGGAAAACGAUUUCUUCGCCAGACUUCGAACAGCAAUCUGUGCUUGCGAUCAUAGGAGUGAAUCAUUGCAAGACUUGAUGGAGCAGUCAUAGCCUUCAUCCUUCAAGUCAUCUGAUGCUUGCUAAGAUUAUUUGGGUGUCGGUUUUCAUGAGUUUCCCACUUCGGUAUAUGAGUUUAUAACAUAAUAAAGACCAGCCUCUUUCUUCAAGCACGAGGAAUUGUAUUCAGCACAGGACAUCUGUGGAAAUUACUACAGAACAGUUCAUGCACCAAAAUGAAACCCCAUAGUAAAGGAGCUAAUGCCAGAAUUGGAGGAAACAGUAAAAGAUGUUUCUCUUAAAUCCAAUUUCAUUUGGAAGUUUUAAUAGAAGAAAUCAAGCCGUUGGAACAUUGAAUAAGACCCCUUUCAUCCUACCACCCGUAACACAAUGCACUUCGUAAAAGGUCUUAAAAGUAAAUCUUUCUAGAGCACUUAUUCUGGAGAUUCAACAGUUUGGUGAAGAUCUUCUCUUGAUUAAAUUAAAGGCACUGCUAGAAAGUGAUUGCUACUAGGAACUUUAUAAAGAUAUGGGAGCACUUGAAAGUGGAUAGAGAAGCAAUAGAAAGAGUUUCUCCUACAAUUUAAAUUUGCAAAAAGAUUAAAAAGGAGUGAAGGAAUGUGAUUCUGACACUAUACAGAACCAAUGUUGUAUCAGGAUUUUCUUCCUGGCCUUGUUUGACUCUUGCAGGUGCUUGUUGUCUCUCUUGUUUUCCAUCUAUUCUUCGUGAGAGAGAAGGUGUUUUGAGCCAGCAACUCAUGGGAUACUUGUCAUUCACCUUGUGCAUUCAUAGGGGAUAUUGAACUUUUCACUGAUAUACAUUGUUUGGAGGUAGGGAAUAGUGUUACAUGUGUAUACUAUGGUCUAGAAAUGACUUUGGCCAAUAAUGACAGCAGCUGGUGUUUGUGUGAGCUACAUUGAAACUUGAGGCAGUUACUUUAUCUCUGCUUUGAUAUUUUGGAGAUAUUGCUGUAUAAUAUUUUUGUAAUAUUUGUAAAGCAUAAAUUCUUAAG